rnacentral:rRNA from 1 species
GAUGAACGCUGGCGGCGUGCCUAACACAUGCAAGUCGAGCGAACAGACGAGGAGCUUGCUCCUCUGACGUUAGCGGCGGACGGGUGAGUAACACGUGGAUAACCUACCUAUAAGACUGGGAUAACUUCGGGAAACCGGAGCUAAUACCGGAUAAUAUAUUGAACCGCAUGGUUCAAUAGUGAAAGACGGUUUUGCUGUCACUUAUAGAUGGAUCCGCGCCGCAUUAGCUAGUUGGUAAGGUAACGGCUUACCAAGGCAACGAUGCGUAGCCGACCUGAGAGGGUGAUCGGCCACACUGGAACUGAGACACGGUCCAGACUCCUACGGGAGGCAGCAGUAGGGACUCUUCCGCAAUGGGCGAAAGCCUGACGGAGCAACGCCGCGUGAGUGAUGAAGGUCUUCGGAUCGUAAAACUAUGUUAUUAGGGAAGAACAAAUGUGUAAGUAACUAUGCACGUCUUGACGGUACCUAAUCAGAAAGCAACGGCUAACUACGU